rnacentral:rRNA from 1 species
GCCAGACUCCUACGGGAGGCAGCAGUGAGGAAUAUUGGUCAAUGGGCGCGAGCCUGAACCAGCCAAGUCGCGUGAGGGAUGACGGCCCUACGGGUUGUAAACCUCUUUUGUCGGGGAGCAAAUUCCGUUACGUGUAACGGAGUCGAGAGUACCCGAAGAAAAAGCAUCGGCUAACUCCGUGCCAGCAGCCGCGGUAAUACGGAGGAUGCGAGCUUUAUCCGGAUUUAUUGGGUUUAAAGGGUGCGUAGGCGGAAUGCCAAGUCAGCGGUAAAAUCGUGGGGCUCAACCCCAUCCAGCCGUUGAAACUGGGGAUCUAGAGUGUGCGAGAGGUAUGCGGAAUGCGUGGUGUAGCGGUGAAAUGCAUAGAUAUCACGCAGAACCCCGAUUGCGAAGGCAGCAUACCGGUGCACAACUGACGCUCAGGCACGAAAGCGUGGGUAUCGAACAGGAUUAGAUACCCCUGUA